rnacentral:rRNA from 1 species
AUGGUACAUUUAUCACGUGGAAUCGAUGAAUUUCGGUGGAAUCUAAACACGAGUGGUGAAUUCUCGGUAGAUUCAAUGUAUAGAGAGUUGAUCCAAUCUGAUGUGUCAGUUGAUAAUAAUAAGAAGAAGAUCUGGAAGAUGAAGAUACCGCUUAAGAAUAAAAUCUUUAUGUGGUAUCUUCGUCGAGGAGUCAUUAUUAUUAAAGAUAACCUUAUUAAGAGGAAUUAGCAUGGAAGUAUGCAAUGUGUCUUUUGUCAUCACGACGAAACAAUAAAACACUUGUUCUUCCAUUGUAAAUUAGCUUGUUCUAUAUGA